CACGUGACUAAACCUGAUUGGUUGUUGUCAUAGUAACACGUCACGGUGCUAUUUGAAACUUGUUCAGUUCAGUUCAGUUGUUCACGAGGUGCAUGCGGUUGCUUGCAUUAAACGUAUAAACUGUUAAAUUAGAUGGCGACUCUGCAUUAAACGUAUUUAUUUAAUUAAUCGGCGAUCAUAUUUCACCAGAGGACUAAGAUAAAACAACUCGAUUUAAAAUAUGAGCAGUUUUAGUGGAUCUGACGUUGAGGGAAAAAGUAUUUCGCUUUUUGUUUGGAGAUGAACGAGACAACACGAGGAUCAACUGCUAUUGACAUUUUUGAAUCGGGGCAAAUGUGGAGUGAAGAAAAACGUUUGCAACACAUCCAUUCCAGAGUGCUCUGACAGAUAAAACUGACACGCUUGAUGAGGUCACAGUCAAAGCUUUAAAAGCCCGUGUGAUAAAGCAGUCUUCAAUUACUACGGUGUCUGAAUUGCAAGAAGUGACCCUCCACUUAAACAUGUGACAUCUAAACUGUUUUGUGUUUUAGUUCAGCUUUUUAUAGGUUUAUCUUAAGUUGGUUAAAGGCAGAGUGCACUAUUUUUGAAAGCCAAUGUUAACAUUUGAAAUUACCUAAACAAACAUGCCUCUACCCCAAUAGAAUCUGGACCUUCUUUUGAUAGAGCCACCACACACAUACGCAAC